rnacentral:tRNA from 2 species
GCCCGGAUGGCGAAACCGGUAGACGCAGGGGACUUAAAAUCCCCCGGCCGCGAGGUCGUGCGGGUUCGAGUCCCGCUCCGGGCACCA